rnacentral:rRNA from 1 species
GAGUUUGAUCAUGGCUCAGAACGUACGCUGGCGGCACGCCUAACACAUGCAAGUCGAACGAAGUAGCAAUACUUAGUGGCAGACGGGUGAGUAACAUGUAGGUAUCUACCCUUUGGCCUGGAAUAACACGAGGAAACUUGUGCUAAUACCGGAUAAGUCUUUACGGAGAAAGCUUUAUGCACCAUUGGAUGAGCCUGCACUUGAUUAGUUUGUUGGUGGGGUAAUGGCCUACCAAGACUGUGAUCAAUAGCUGAUUUGAGAGGAUGAUCAGCCACAUUGGGACUGAGACACGGCCCAAACUCCUACGGGAGGCAGCAGUGGGGAAUCUUGCACAAUGGAGGAAACUCUGAUGCAGCGAUGCCGCGUGAGUGAAGAAGGCCCUUGGGUUGUAAAGCUCUUUCGUCGGGGAAGAAAAUGACUGUACCCGAAUAAGAAGGUCCGGCUAACUUCGUGCCAGCAGCCGCGGUAAUACGAAGGGACCUAGCGUAGUUCGGAAUUACUGGGCUUAAAGAGUUCGUAGGUGGUUGAAAAAGUUGGUGGUGAAAUCCCAGAGCUUAACUCUGGAACUGCCAUCAAAACUUUUCAGCUAGAGUAUGAUAGAGGAAAGCAGAAUUUCUAGUGUAGAGGUGAAAUUCGUAGAUAUUAGAAAGAAUACCAAUUGCGAAGGCAGCUUUCUGGAUCAUUACUGACACUGAGGAACGAAAGCAUGGGUAGCGAAGAGGAUUAGAUACCCUCGUAGUCCAUGCCGUAAACGAUGUGUGUUAGACGUUGGAAAUUUAUUUUCAGUGUCGCAGCAAAAGCGAUAAACACACCGCCUGGGGAGUACGACCGCAAGGUUAAAACUCAAAUGAAUUGACGGGGACCCGCACAAGUAGUGGAGCAUGUGGUUUAAUUCGAAGAUACGCGCAGAACCUUACCAACGCUUGACAUGUUCGUCGCGACUCUAAGAGAUUAGAGUUUUCGGUUCGGCCGGACGAAACACAGGUGCUGCAUGGCUGUCGUCAGCUCGUGUCGUGAGAUGUUGGGUUAAGUCCCGCAACGAGCGCAACCCUCACUUUUAGUUGCCAUCAUUAAGUUGGGCACUCUGAAAGAACUGCCAGUGAUAAGCUGGAGGAAGGUGGGGAUGACGUCAAGUCCUCAUGGCCCUUACGUGUUGGGCUACACACGUGCUACAAUGGUAUUUACAACAGGAAGCAAAACGGCGACGUUAAGCAAAUCCCUAAAAGAUACCUCAGUUCGGAUUGCACUCUGCAACUCGAGUGCAUGAAGCUGGAAUUACUAGUAAUCGUGGAUCAGCGUGCCACGGUGAAUGCGUUCCCGGGUCUUGUACACACCGCCCGUCACACCAUGGGAGUUGGUUCUACCUUAAGGCAAGGUUUUAAACUCUUGACCACGGUAUAGUCAGCGACUGGGGUGAAGUCGUAACAAGGUAACC